rnacentral:rRNA from 1 species
UUAAGUUAUUAAGGGCAUAGAGUGGAUGCCUUGGUGCUAGAAGGCGAUGAAAGACGUGAUAAGCUGCGAUAAGCUUCGGUUAGGUGCAAACAACCUUUAACCCGGAGAUUUCUGAAUGGGGUAACCUGAUACGAUUGAAUCGUAUCGUUCCUUCCUGAAUAAAAUAAGGAAGGAUACGCAAGACCUGCUGAAUUGAAACAUCUUAGUAAGCAGAGGAAAAGAAAGAGAAUUCGAUUCCGUAAGUAGCGGCGAGCGAAAACGGACCAGCCCAAACCGGCGUCUUUGACGUCGGGGUUGUAGGACCCCGCUGUGGGACUUCUGACGAUAGGUGAACACUUUGGAAAGAGUGGACAAAGAGCGUGACAUCCGCGUAACCGAAAUCUGAUGAGGCCCUAGGGAGUUCCUGAGUAGCACGGGACACGUGAAACCCCGUGUGAAUCUGCGCAGACCACUGCGUAAGGCUAAAUACUAACUAGCGACCGAUAGUGAACCAGUACCGUGAGGGAAAGGUGAAAAGUACCCCUGUGAGGGGAGUGAAAUAGAACCUGAAACCCUAUGCCUACAAGGUGUUAGAGCCCUUUCGAGGGUGAUAGCGUGCCUUUUGCUUAAUGAGUCUGCGAGUUACCGUCUGUGGCAAGCUUAAGAUCUUCUGGAUCGUAGGCGUAGCGAAAGCAAGUCCGAAUAGGGCGACCCUAGUUGCAGGCGGUAGACCCGAAACGGAGGUGACCUACCCAUGGCCAGGUUGAAGCUUAGGUGAUACUAAGUGGAGGACCGAACCGGUGUGUGUUGAAAAACGCUCGGAUGAGCUGUGGGUCGGAGUGAAAGGCUAAUCAAACCCCGUGAUAGCUGGUUCUCCUCGAAAUGCAUUUAGGUGCAGCGUUGCGUGUUGAUGAGUGGGGGUAGAGCACUGACAGGGCUAGGGGGCAUACCCGCCUACCAACCCCUAUCAAACUCCGAAUACCAUUCAAUAGAGCGCAGCAGUGAGACGGCGGGGGAUAAGCUUCGUCGUCGAGAGGGAAACAGCCCAGAUCAGCAGCUAAGGUGCCUAAAUUGUGCUCAGUGGAAAGGAGGUGAGGUUUCAUAGACAGUGAGGAUGUUGGCUUAGAAGCAGCCACCAUUUAAAAAAUGCGUAAUAGCUUACUCAUCGAGAGACCUUGCGCCGAAAAUACUUGGCGAUAAGCACAAUACCGAAGCUCUGGGUGUCCUAGUUUACUAGGGCGCGGUAGAGGAGCAUUCUCUGUGCAGUGAAGGGUGAUGGCGACUGACCCUGGAGCGCAGAGAAGUGAGAAUGCAGACAUGAGUAACGAUAAGAGCGGUGAAAUCCCGCUCCGCCGUAAAUCCAAGGUUUCCCGGGCAACGUUUUUCGUCCCGGGGUUAGUCGGGACCUAACCCGAGGCCGAUGGGCGUAGGGGAUGGUAAGCAGGUUAAUAUUCCUGCACCCAGUAAGGAGGACGCAUAAUGAAAAGCUACUAUGUUAUUGAAUAUUCGGAGGCGAGGCUUAGGCCGAACCGCAUAGCUGGACAGAGUGCCAAGAAAAGCCCUUACAUUAAUGGCCCGUACCGUAAACCGACACAGGUGGAUGGGUAGAAUAUACCAAGGCGCAAGAGUGAAACCUGGUCAAGGAACUCGGCAAAAUAGCCCCGUAACUUCGGAAGAAGGGGUGCCCCCUCUGGGGGGCCGCAGUGAAAUGGCCCAACCGACUGUUUAGCAAAAACACAGCAUUGUGCUAAGGCGUAAGCCGACGUAUACGAUGUGACACGUGACCAAUGCCAAAAGAUUACGGUAAGAUGUUAGCACUUUAGUGCGAAGCUUCGAGCCCAAGUCCUGGUGAAUGUCGGCCGUAACUAUAACGGUCCUAAGGUAGCGAAAUUCCUUGUCGGGUAAGUUCCGACCUGCACGAAUGG